rnacentral:rRNA from 1 species
CCUACGGGGGGCAGCAGUGAGGAAUAUUGGUCAAUGGGCGCGAGCCUGAACCAGCCAAGUAGCGUGCAGGAUGAAUGCCCUACGGGUUGUAAACUGCUUUUAUAAAGGAAUAACGUGCGGCACGUGUGCCUUUUUGUAUGUACUUUAUGAAUAAGGGUCGGCUAACUACGUGCCAGCAGCCGCGGUAAUACGGAAGGGGCAAGCGUUAUCCGGAUUUACUGGGUGUAAAGGGAGCGUAGGCGGCAGUGCAAGUCUGGAGUGAAAGGCGGGGGCUCAACCCCCGGACCGCACUGGAAACUGGACGGCUUGAGUGCACAACAGGUAAGUGGAAUUCGUGGUGUAGCGGUGAAAUGCGUAGAUAUUACGAGGAACACCGGUGGCGAAGGCGGCUUACUGGACUGCAACUGACGUUGAGGCUCGAAGGUGCGGGGAGCAAACAGGAUUAGAUACCCCAGUAGUC